AACGAGGAUAACCAUUGGAAACAGUGGCUAAGACUGGAUAGGAAGAUAAAAGGCAUCUUGUAUCUUUUAAAAGACCUAGUAAUAGGUAUGCUUUAGGAGGGGCUUGCGCCAUAUUAGUUAGUUGGUAGGGUAAUGGCCUACCAAGACGAUGAUGUGUAGCUGGACUGAGAGGUUGAACAGCCACAUUGGGACUGAGACACGGCCCAAACUCCUACGGGAGGCAGCAGUAGGGAAUUUUCGGCAAUGGAGGAAACUCUGACCGAGCAACGCCGCGUGAAUGACGAAGUACUUCGGUAUGUAAAGUUCUUUUAUCGAGGAAGAAAAGCAAAUGGCGAACCAUUUGUUUGCCGGUACUUGAUGAAUAAGCCCCGGCUAAUUAUGUGCCAGCAGCCGCGGUAAGACAUAAGGGGCAAGUGUUAUCCGGAAUUAUUGGGCGUAAAGGGUGCGUAGGCGGUCUAGUAAGUCAGUGGUGUAAUGGCAACGCUUAACGUUGUCCGGCUAUUGAAACUGCUAAACUUGAGUUAGAUAGAGGCGAGUGGAAUUCCAUGUGUAGCGGUAAAAUGCGUAAAUAUAUGGAGGAACACCAGAGGCGUAGGCGGCUCGCUGGGUCUUAACUGACGCUGAGGCACGAAAGCGUGGGGAGCAAACAGGAUUAGAUACCCUGGUAGUCCACGCCGUAAACGAUGAGUACUAAGUGUCGGGUUAAACCGGUACUGAAGUUAACACAUUAAGUACUCCGCCUGAGUAGUACGUACGCAAGUAUGAAACUUAAAGGAAUUGACGGGACUCCGCACAAGCGGUGGAUCAUGUUGUUUAAUUCGAAGAUACCCGAAAAACCUUACCAGGUCUUGACAUGUUUUUGCAAA
rnacentral:rRNA from 1 species